rnacentral:rRNA from 1 species
AUGGGGAUGCCACACAUGAGGUACGCCCCUGAGCGCAGCGGGACCGUCAACACUAAGUUGAUCCUGUUCUUCGAGGGCGUCCUCGGAGCCUUGGCGUAUCUUCACUCCAACAGGAAGGCCACACUGGCCGAGGAGGCCCGGCGACUUUGCCGGAGGGUCGUGACCAAGGUCCUCACCAAGACGGUGUACUGGAAUCCUGAUCUUGACUUCACGGCCGCGAUGAAGAGCUUGCCGGAUGGUGCUGACCUCACGGUGCUCAAGGAGCGCAUCAAGCCCAUCACCGACUGCAUCGACAAAAUCAAGAGGGUGGAAGGCCAGCGCCGGGAUUAG